rnacentral:rRNA from 1 species
UACAGAGGGUGCAAGCGUUGUUCGGAAUUAUUGGGCGUAAAGGGCGCGUAGGCGGUGCCACAAGUCACCUGUGAAAUCUCCGGGCUUAACUCGGAGCCUGCAGGCGAAACUGUGGUGCUGGAGUGUGGGAGAGGUGCGUGGAAUUCCCGGUGUAGCGGUGAAAUGCGUAGAUAUCGAGAGGAACACCAGAGGGGAAGACGGGUUGCUGGGCCGACACUGACGCUGAUAGCGCGAAAGCCAGGGGAGCAAACGGG